rnacentral:rRNA from 1 species
GUCUAUAGCCAUGCCACCCUGAACAUGCUGAGACCAUCUGAUCUCGGAAGCUAAGCAAGGUCGGGCCUUGUUAGUACUGGGAUGGGAGAUCACCUAGGACAACCACGUGCUGUGGACA